rnacentral:rRNA from 1 species
AUUGAACGCUGGCGGCAUGCCUUACACAUGCAAGUCGAACGGUAUCGCGGGGCAACCUGGCGACGAGGGGCGAACGGGUGAGUAAUGUAUCGGAACGUGCCCAAUAGUGGGGGAUAGCCCGGCGAAAGCCGGAUUAAUACCGCAUGAGACCUGAGGGUGAAAGCGGGGGAUCGCAAGACCUCGCGCUGUUGGAGCGGCCGAGAUCAGAUUAGGUAGGUGGUGGGGUAAAGGCCUACCAAGGCGGCGAUCUGUAGCUGGUCUGCGAGGAUGACCAGCCACACUGGGACUGAGACACGGCCCAGACUCCUACGGGAGGCAGCAGUGGGGAAUUUUGGACAAUGGGCGCAAGCCUGAUCCAGCCAUGCCGCGUGCGGGAAGAAGGCCUUCGGGUUGUAAACCGCUUUUGUCAGGGAAGAAAUCUUCUGGGUUAAUACCUCGGGAGGAUGACGGUACCUGAAGAAUAAGCACCGGCUAACUACGUGCCAGCCGCCGCCGUAA